GUCGAUUCAUUAUAGGGUGCCUUGUAAGAAAUGGAAUAAUAGACAAAAUAUUGCUAUGAGGACAGAACUUGAGCCACAGAACUUGUAGAAUGGUGCUCACUGUUCAUCUAUGCCUUCAACUUCGGCAAACUGAAACACCACAGGAACUACAA
rfam:Aedes aegypti strain Liverpool supercont1.322 genomic scaffold, whole genome shotgun sequence.